AGAGUUUGAUCCUGGCUCAGGAUGAACGCUAGCGACAGGCUUAACACAUGCAAGUCGAGGGGCAGCACAGGUAGCAAUACCGGGUGGCGACCGGCGCACGGGUGAGUAACGCGUAUGCAACUUACCUAUCAGAGGGGGAUAACCCGGCGAAAGUCGGACUAAUACCGCAUGAAGCAGGGGCCCCGCAUGGGGAUAUUUGCUAAAGAUUCAUCGCUGAUAGAUAGGCAUGCGUUCCAUUAGGCAGUUGGCGGGGUAACGGCCCACCAAACCGACGAUGGAUAGGGGUUCUGAGAGGAAGGUCCCCCACAUUGGUACUGAGACACGGACCAAACUCCUACGGGAGGCAGCAGUGAGGAAUAUUGGUCAAUGGGCGUAAGCCUGAACCAGCCAAGUCGCGUGAGGGAUGAAGGUUCUAUGGAUCGUAAACCUCUUUUAUAAGGGAAUAAAGUGUGGGACGUGUCCUGUUUUGUAUGUACCUUAUGAAUAAGGAUCGGCUAACUCCGUGCCAGCAGCCGCGGUAAUACGGAGGAUCCGAGCGUUAUCCGGAUUUAUUGGGUUUAAAGGGUGCGUAGGCGGCCUUUUAAGUCAGCGGUGAAAGUCUGUGGCUCAACCAUAGAAUUGCCGUUGAAACUGGGGGGCUUGAGUAUGUUUGAGGCAGGCGGAAUGCGUGGUGUAGCGGUGAAAUGCUUAGAUAUCACGCAGAACCCCGAUUGCGAAGGCAGCCUGCCAAGCCAUGACUGACGCUGAUGCACGAAAGCGUGGGGAUCAAACAGGAUUAGAUACCCUGGUAGUCCACGCAGUAAACGAUGAUCACUAGCUGUUUGCGAUACACUGUAAGCGGCACAGCGAAAGCGUUAAGUGAUCCACCUGGGGAGUACGCCGGCAACGGUGAAACUCAAAGGAAUUGACGGGGGCCCGCACAAGCGGAGGAACAUGUGGUUUAAUUCGAUGAUACGCGAGGAACCUUACCCGGGCUUAAAUUGCAGAUGAAUUACGGUGAAAGCCGUAAGCCGCAAGGCAUCUGUGAAGGUGCUGCAUGGUUGUCGUCAGCUCGUGCCGUGAGGUGUCGGCUUAAGUGCCAUAACGAGCGCAACCCUUGCCACUAGUUACUAACAGGUAAAGCUGAGGACUCUGGUGGGACUGCCAGCGUAAGCUGCGAGGAAGGCGGGGAUGACGUCAAAUCAGCACGGCCCUUACAUCCGGGGCGACACACGUGUUACAAUGGCGUGGACAAAGGGAAGCCACCUGGCGACAGGGAGCGAAUCCCCAAACCACGUCUCAGUUCGGAUCGGAGUCUGCAACCCGACUCCGUGAAGCUGGAUUCGCUAGUAAUCGCGCAUCAGCCAUGGCGCGGUGAAUACGUUCCCGGGCCUUGUACACACCGCCCGUCAAGCCAUGGGAGCCGGGGGUACCUGAAGUGCGUAACCGCGAGGAGCGCCCUAGGGUAAAACUGGUGACUGGGGCUAAGUCGUAACAAGGUAGCCGUACCGGAAGGUGCGGCUG
rnacentral:rRNA from 1 species